UGAUGCCGCCAGGAGACAGAAGGUCGAGCUGAUAUUCAUGUGGCUCUGCCCUAAGUCUGCUUUGUGAACUUGGGAGCUGUGGGACACCUCCCUGAGCCACAAGUUCCUCUUCUUGAAAAUGAAGUGCUCUCCCUAUAUCGAAGAAGAUGUGCUUAAAUGUCAGCAAUGUCUUCACCACCUGGACUCCAACACAAGAUGAAGAGGGGAGAAAUGGUAACCGAAUGCCUAGGAUCCAAGCUACCGAGGAUUGCAGACUACAGAAGUUGCGGAGGCUACUAAGCAACUCAAAGCUGGCAACAUAUACAGGAUGGAUAUGCAGGACAAAGACAAUGCCUCCUGUCCCAGGUAGG